CUUGCUUUCUUUGCCGGCGACCGGCGCACGGGUGAGUAACACGUAUCCAACCUGCCCUUUACUCGGGGAUAGCCUUUCGAAAGAAAGAUUAAUACCCGAUGGCAUAAUGAUUCCGCAUGGUUUCAUUAUUAAAGGAUUCCGGUAAAGGAUGGGGAUGCGCUCCAUUAGGUUGUUGGUGAGGUAACGGCCCACCAAGCCUUCGAUGGAUAGGGGUUCUGAGAGGAAGGUCCCCCACAUUGGAACUGAGACACGGUCCAAACUCCUACGGGAGGCAGCAUG
rnacentral:rRNA from 1 species